rnacentral:rRNA from 1 species
CAACGAGAGACUCGGUGAAAUCAUAGUACCGGUGAAGAUGCCGGUUACCCGCGACAGGACGGAAAGACCCCGUGGAGCUUUACUGUAGCCUGAUAUUGAAAUUCGGUACAGUUUGUACAGGAUAGGUAGGAGCCUUAGAAGCGUGAGCGCUAGCUUACGUGGAGGCAUUGGUGGGAUACUACCCUAAUUGUAUUGGAUUUCUAACCCGCAGCACUUAUCGUGCUGGGAGACAGUGUCAGGCGGGCAGUUUGACUGGGGCGGUCGCCUCCUAAAGAGUAACGGAGGCGCUCAAAGGUUCCCUCAGAAUGGUUGGAAAUCAUUCAUAGAGUGUAAAGGCAUAAGGGAGCUUGACUGCGAGACCUACAAGUCGAGCAGGGUCGAAAGACGGACUUAGUGAUCCGGUGGUUCCGCAUGGAAGGGCCAUCGCUCAACGGAUAAAAGCUACCCCGGGGAUAACAGGCUUAUCUCCCCCAAGAGUUCACAUCGACGGGGAGGUUUGGCACCUCGAUGUCGGCUCAUCGCAUCCUGGGGCUGUAGUCGGUCCCAAGGGUUGGGCUGUUCGCCCAUUAAAGCGGUACGCGAGCUGGGUUCAGAACGUCGUGAGACAGUUCGGUCCCUAUCCGUCGUGGGCGUAGGAAAUUUGAGAGGAGCUGUCCUUAGUACGAGAGGACCGGGAUGGACAUACCUCUGGUGUACCAGUUGUCGUGCCAACGGCAUAGCUGGGUAGCUAUGUAUGGACGGGAUAAGUGCUGAAAGCAUCUAAGCAUGAAGCCCCCCUCGAGAUGAGAUUUCCCAACUUCGGUUAUAAGAUCCCUCAAAGAUGAUGAGGUGAAUAGGUUCGAGGUGGAAGCGUAGCGAUACGUGGAGCUGACGAAUACUA